CUUGGGAUAUAGCUCAGUGAUACAACGCGUGCUUAGCAUGUACGAAGUCGUGGGUUCAAUCCCCAGCACCAAGA
rnacentral:tRNA from 1 species